rnacentral:rRNA from 1 species
CCUGGGGAGUACGGUCGCAAGAUUAAAACUCAAAGGAAUUGACGGGGACCCGCACAAGCGGUGGAUGAUGUGGAUUAAUUCGAUGCAACGCGAAAAACCUUACCUACCCUUGACAUGGCUGGAAUCCCCGAGAGAUUGGGGAGUGCUCGAAAGAGAGCCAGUACACAGGUGCUGCAUGGCUGUCGUCAGCUCGUGUCGUGAGAUGUUGGGUUAAGUCCCGCAACGAGCGCAACCCUUGUCAUUAGUUGCUACGAAAGGGCACUCUAAUGAGACUGCCGGUGACAAACCGGAGGAAGGUGGGGAUGACGUCAAGUCCUCAUGGCCCUUAUGGGUAGGGCUUCACACGUCAUACAAUGGUACAUACAGAGCGCCGCCAACCCGCGAGGGGGAGCUAAUCGCAGAAAGUGUAUCGUAGUCCGGAUUGUAGUCUGCAACUCGACUGCAUGAAGUUGGAAUCGCUAGUAAUCGCGGAUCAGCAUGUCGCGGUGAAUACGUUCCCGGGUCUUGUACACACCGCCCGUCACACCAUGGGAGCGGGUUUUACCAGAAGUAGGUAGCUUAACCGUAAGGAGGGCGCUUACCACGGUAGGAUUCGUGACUGGGGUGAAGUCGUAACAAGGUAGCCGUAUCGGAAGGUGCGGCUGGAUCACCUCCUUU